rnacentral:rRNA from 1 species
UACGGAGGAUGCGAGCGUUAUCCGGAUUUAUUGGGUUUAAAGGGUGCGUAGGCGGACGCUUAAGUCAGCGGUAAAAUUGCGGGGCUCAACCCCGCCGAGCCGUCGGAACUGGGGGCCUUGAGUGCGGCGGAGGCAUGCGGAAUGCGCGGUGUAGCGGUGAAAUGCAUAGAUAUCGCGCAGAACUCCGAUUGCGAAGGCAGCGUACCGGCGCCGGACUGACGCUGAGGCACGAAAGUGCGGGUAUCGAACAGG